GACGAACGCUGGCGGCGUGCCUAAUACAUGCAAGUAGAACGCUGAAGGAGGAGCUUGCUCUUCUUGGAUGAGUUGCGAACGGGUGAGUAACGCGUAGGUAACCUGCCUGGUAGCGGGGGAUAACUAUUGGAAACGAUAGCUAAUACCGCAUAAUAGUAGAUGUUGCAUGACAUUUGCUUAAAAGGUGCAAUUGCAUCACUACCAGAUGGACCUGCGUUGUAUUAGCUAGUUGGUGAGGUAACGGCGCACCAAGGCAACGAUACAUAGCCGACCUGAGAGGGUGAGCGGCCAAGCUGGGACUGGGACACGGCCCAGACUCCUACGGGAGGCAGCAGUAGGGGAUCUUCGGCAAUGGACGGAAGUCUGACCGAGCAACGCCGCGUGAGUGAAGAAGGUUUUCGGAUCGUAAAGCUCUGUUGUAAGAGAAGAACGAGUGUGAGAGUGGAAAGUUCACACUGUGACGGUAUCUGACCAGAAAGGGACGGCUAACUACGUG
rnacentral:rRNA from 1 species